rnacentral:tRNA from 1 species
GGGCCGGUAGAUCAGCGGAAGAUCGCCGCCUUGGCAUGGCGGAGGCCGCGAGUUCAAAUCUCGCCCGGUCCACCA